rnacentral:Y_RNA from 1 species
GGCUGAUCUGAAGGUUGUAAAUUAUUUCAAUUGAUUGUUCACAGUUACAGACAGCACUCUUCUUCUCCUUCCCCCUUUUCACUACUGCACUUAGCUAGUCUUUA